rnacentral:lncRNA from 1 species
UGAUGUUAUAUAUUAAAAUAUGCUUGACAAGUUUUACAUGAUUCUAUAAACAAAAGCGUUGUCAUAAUACAUAAAAUCUUGCUUGAGAAUGCUCCGGGCACCUGGCUAUAGAAGGAAGAAUGGAAAUUACAAUAACAAAAUCUUAAUUCUAAUAGAAUACUAACAAUGCUCUAAUUAGACCAUAAUAAUGGUAAUCAAGCUUAACCAAAUUCAAAGAAACCUUAGAGAAAUUUCAAACAAACAAUAAGAAUUCUUAAAGAAAUAUUAAAAGAAUCACAAAUAUCACUCAAAUACAUUUUAAUUCAAUCUUAAUUUAAUUCUAGUUAAAAUCCUAUUGAACUUCAUUCAAACUUUAAACCAAAACUAAUUGAAUCUUAAAUCCUAAUAAAAUCCUAAAUCCUAAAUCAAACCCUAAAAAAACCUUAAAUCAAACCACAACCAAAUCCUAAACCAAAUCCUAAUCAAAUCUUAAAUCUUAAAUCAAACCCUAACCAAAUCCUAAUCCAAAUCCUAAAUCCUAAACCAAACCCUAAUCCAAACUUUAAAUCCUAAACCAAACCCUAACUAAAUCUUAAAUUCUAAACCCUAAAUAAAAUCCUAACCAAAUCUUAAACCAAAUCCUAAACCAAGUCCUAAAUCAAAUCCUAACCAAAUCCUAAAUCCUAAAUAAAAUCCUAAUCAAAUCUUAAUCCAAAUUCUAAUCCAAAUCCUAAAUCCUAAACCAAAUCUUAACCAAAUCCUAAAUCAAACCUUAAUCAAAUCCUAAACCCUAAAUCAAAUCCUAAUCCAAAUCCUAAACCCUAAAUCAACUCCUAACCUAAUCCUAAACCCUAAAUCUAACUCUAAUCCAAAUCCUAAACCCUAAACCAAACCUGAGUAAUUCCUACAACAGAUUUAAA